GUACACGCUGUGACUAGCAUAUCAAUAAGCGGAGGAAAAGAAACUAACAAGGAUUCCCCUAGUAACGGCGAGUGAAGCGGGAAGAGCUCAAAUUUGAAAUCUUAAAGGGUUUCCCUUUACGAAUUGUAGUUUAAAGAAGUGUUUUCUGUUGAGGUUUUGGUAAAAGUUCUUCGGAAUAGGACAUCAUAGAGGGUGAGAAUCCCGUAUUUGACCUUUACUUUCAACUUUGUGAUACACUUUCAAAGAGUCGGAUUGUUUGGGAAUGCAGUCCAAAAUGGGUGGUAAAUUUCAUCUAAAGCUAAAUAUUGGCGAGAGACCGAUAGCGAACAAGUACCGUGAGGGAAAGAUGAAAGGAACUUUGAAAAGAGAGUUAAACAGUACGUGAAAUUGUCAAAAGGGAAGCGUUUGACACCAGUGUUGUUUUUCUGAAAAUCAAUUAAAGAACUGUUUAUGCUAAGUUGUUUAGACUUUAUCAGCUAACUGUUUAGUUUUGAGCUUUUCUUUAAUGCACUUUUCAGUUAACAAGUCAACAUCAAUUUCUUUUGCCUGUAAAAAAGCUUGAGGAAGGUGGCUUGAGAUUCGUCUUAAGUGUUUAUAGCCUCUUGCCUAUGCAGUCGGAGAGAUUGAGGUCUGCAGCGUAGAUCCUUCGGGGCUAAAUGCAUUUGUGCUAAGUUAUAGCAUUUUAUAGACAACUUGUUGACUAUGAUUUGUCUUGUAGCUUACUCGCUUAUGUUAUUUUACCUACGCUUAGGAUGUUGACAGCAGUAUAGACUGU
rnacentral:rRNA from 1 species